rnacentral:lncRNA from 1 species
GUUUCUACGUGGACUUAUUUUAUACAGGGAUAAGGAUUUCUAGGACAACUUCAUUCCUAUAUUUAUUUACUCAUCACAUUUUUAUUGCAUAUGUUUCAUGUGCUUGGUAAUGAGCUAAUCGCUAAGGGCACAAAAGUAAAAAUGAUGGGGUAAACACAAUCCUAACCUGCAGUUAUGAACUGAGUCGUACGAUUCCCCACCCUCUCUUCCACAAAGGAGAGUUGAAGUCCUAAAGUGCAGGACCUCCGAAUGUGAGCAUAUUUACCGACGGGAUCACUGUGGAUGUGAGAUUAAGAUGCGCUCAUAGUGGGAUAGGAUGAGUGCUAUGACCACAGUCUCUGUGAGAAGAGGAACGAGCACCGGAAGAAAACGGCCACAAAUACGAGGAGGGAAGAGGAGACCGGAGAGCUCCGCCUCAAGCCAAGGAAGCCAAGUAACCAGCAAAAGUUACCAUGGGAAGGCAAGAAAAGAAUGUCCCCUGUAGGCUUCCGUGAGAGCACUGCCCUGGUCACGCUUUGAUUCCUGACUUCCGGCUUCUAGAACUGUGAGCAGCCUGUGGUGUUUUGUGCGAGUCCCAGGAAGCUAACACACGCACCAAAGACCACGUAAAACAAAUGAGGCCAUCUGUUAAAGUGCGAUAAACAGUCGUACAACUAUGGCGAGUGAUGGGAAAAUAUGGGAAGAAGUCUAUUAAAAAGGAUCAGAGGAAGUACUGGUGGAGGAGGUGUCCUCCACGCCAGCAAAGAGCAAGCGACAGAAAUUUCAGAGCAACAUGAAGAAAUUAUCACAAAUAAUGAACACAACCUCAACGUAAAACUUUCAGAGACAAAAAUCAUUGAAAAACUAAGGAGACGUGGAGGAGAAGAUGCGAGCUCUCCGCGAAUCCUGUCGGUGUGUCUACCAGACCAGCAGGCAGCAAGAAUCUAAGGAUUCUGUCAUCCGAACAGUGAGCUGAUGAUGCGUGCUGACUUGUGCUUCUUCACCGGUUUCUCAUUCCACUUCUUCAGUGCGAAUCUCGAUCAAGUUCAGAAUAUUCUUUGUUGUCACUGUCUGCCGUGUUGUAAGAUCUGCAAGUAUCAGGGGUUAGUUUGGGGAGUCCGGCGGCAGGAGCUGUGCAGGGAGUGACUGAGGGCAUCGAGGCCUUGUUUUUCCAUGUCCUUUAAAUAAACAAAGAAAUAUUUAGAUAAAGUUUAUUGUGUGCAAAGAAACCGAGUGACAUAGCCACAGAUACAGAGUGGGUUGCAUUAGAAUUCUUCCAUUCUUUGACAUAAAAGGCCAAAAGAAGUUCUAAAAAAAAAAAUCCUUUCAUUUUGCUGACCAAUAUCACAAGGACAAUAUAAAUUACAAACAGGACAGUUUUGACUUUAAAAAGGAGAAGCA